rnacentral:rRNA from 1 species
GAUGAACGCUGACAGAAUGCUUAACACAUGCAAGUCCACUUGAAUUUGGGUUUUUAACUUAGGUUUGGGUGGCGGACGGGUGAGUAACGCGUAAAGAACUUGCCUCACAGCUAGGGACAACAUUUGGAAACGAAUGCUAAUACCUAAUAUUAUGAUAAUAGGGCAUCCUAUAAUUAUGAAAGCUAUAAGCGCUGUGAGAGAGCUUUGCGUCCCAUUAGCUAGUUGGUGAGGUAACGGCUCACCAAGGCGAUGAUGGGUAGCCGGCCUGAGAGGGUGAUCGGCCACAAGGGGACUGAGACACGGCCCUUACUCCUACGGGAGGCAGCAGUGGGGAAUAUUGGACAAUGGACCGAGAGUCUGAUCCAGCAAUUCUGUGUGCACGAUGAAGUUUUUCGGAAUGUAAAGUGCUUUCAGUUGGGAAGAAACAAAUGACGGUACCAACAGAAGAAGUGACGGCUAAAUACGUG